ACUUUAAAUCCUUUAACUAGGAACAAUUGGAGGGCAAGUCUGGUGCCAGCAGCCGCGGUAAUUCCAGCUCCAAUAGCGUAUAUUAAAGUUGUUGCGGUUAAAAAGCUCGUAGUUGGAUCUCGCCGGGUUGAGGGACGUUCGUUUUUUGACGCAACUACCUCGUUUACUCGUGAUUUUUGACUGAGGUGUUAGGGUGCCCUUCAUUGGAUGUCCUAAUGGCUCGUCAGGUUUACUUUGAAAAAAUUAGAGUGCUCAAAGCAGGCUUUUACAGCUUGAAUAUUCGUGCAUGGAAUAAUAGAAUAGGAUGUCGUUUCUAUUUUGUUGGUUUAUCGGAAAUCGACAUAAUGAUUAAUAGGGACAGUCGGGGGCAUUAGUAUUCAGGCGACAGAGGUGAAAUUCUUGGACCGUCUGAAGACUAACUACUGCGAAAGCAUUUGCCAAGAAUGUUUUCAUUAAUCAAGAACGAAAGUUAGAGGUUCGAAGGCGAUCAGAUACCGCCCUAGUUCUAACCAUAAACAAUGCCAACUAGCGAUCCGCUGUUGUUUUUUAUUACGGCACAGCGGGAAGCUUCCGGGAAACCAAAGUCUUUGGGUUCCGGGGGAAGUAUGGUUGCAAAGCUGAAACUUAAAGUAAUUGACGGAAGGG
rnacentral:rRNA from 1 species